rnacentral:rRNA from 1 species
GACGAACGCUGGCGGCGUGCUUAACACAUGCAAGUCGAACGGAAAGGCCCCAGCUUGCUGGGGUACUCGAGUGGCGAACGGGUGAGUAACACGUGGGUGAUCUGCCCUGCACUCUGGGAUAAGCCUGGGAAACUGGGUCUAAUACCGGAUAGGACCGUGCUUUAGUGUGUGCGGUGGAAAGUUUUUCGGUGCAGGAUGAGCCCGCGGCCUAUCAGCUUGUUGGUGGGGUAAUGGCCUACCAAGGCGGCGACGGGUAGCCGGCCUGAGAGGGUGUACGGCCACAUUGGGACUGAGACACGGCCCAGACUCCUACGGGAGGCAGCAGUGGGGAAUAUUGCACAAUGGGCGCAAGCCUGAUGCAGCGACGCCGCGUGGGGGAUGACGGCCUUCGGGUUGUAAACCCCUUUCGGCAGGGACGAAGCUUUUGUGACGGUACCUGCAUAAGAAGCACCGGCUAACUACGU